AAAAGCAAGUUAUGGGCACUUAGCAGACCUUUCGCUUUCGCCCUAAUUUACGUGCAAAUGUUUGUCGGACAUUAAGUGGAAAGGGGUACAUACAAAUAAUGGCCAUCACUUGAGAGACACUUUGGAAGAGCAAAGAGGAAUGAAGUUAAAAGAUUAAAUGUGCGUAAAAGCCGAGAAAACUGUGAUUGUGAGAUGAUAAGAGAUCGGGCCAGCUCCCAGCUAGCACAUCGUCUGUCUCGGAAUAAAAUCAAUAAUUUAUCCUCAUUCCACGUGCCGAGUCAGCGCGGACACAACAGCUACAAUUACAGCUUACGUAAAAAGAUGACAAAAAUAAUUUCAUCCAUAAUAUCAAGUGGACAGAAAAAUAUUGAUGUUUCCUAUUUCUAUGCGAUGCAAAUUACAACUUACACAAAAAGUUACCAAUAUUAUUGGCAAUUUAACUUCAAAUACUUUGUAUUUGUGCUCAAGAAUAUAACUUGGCUGUUAUGUUUUAUUCAUAAUAUCAUGUCCAGCAUUUGUGAUGAUAGACAAUGUUUCUUAUUUCUCUAUAUAUUGUCACAAACUACAGACUGUAUGAAUGGAACUGUAUUAUCAAUAUCUCAUUCUUAAAUAUCAUAUGUUGCAUCUGUGCCGACAGAAAAAUCAUGUUUUGUGUUUCUACUACAUUGUGUAUAUUGUGUAAAAAGAUAAGACGCCAAUGGAAUAAUGUCAAAUAAGAAACAUUCUGAAUUAAUGCAUCUCUCCUGUAACAUUUUCAGUGACAAAUGUUUAGUGUAUUAAAGGCCUGUAUUUAAAUAUCACUAAACGCUUGUUUCCUUUUUAAAUAAGAAAAAUAUACAGACUUUUCUGUUGUUAAUAUUUCCAAGAAAAAAUGUUAAGAGCCCUAUAAAUAAUACAGCACUCAACUGUACUGUAAAACCUUACAAUGAUGUGCUUUAAGUGUUGUGUAUUGAUAUUAUCUGAGCACUGGGCCUUGAGACCAUUACAGGAACUGACAGUUACAGAGUGCCUGCUGCCUUCAGACUGUCACUGCUACACUGGCGAUAUCUUUAAUAAAGAAUUUUCUGUCGCCCAUUUCAGAACAUGAUUCAUAGGGGUCACUUU